rnacentral:rRNA from 1 species
AACGAUCGUAGACCCGAUAGUCUCACACAUCGCAUGGUGAUGUGAGUAAAUGGCGGGAUCCUUCGGACCGCCUGCUAGCAGAGGUGAUUGCGGCCCAUCAGUUUGUUGGUAGGGUAACGGCCUACCAAGACUACGACGGGUAGCNGGCCUAAGAGGGUGGCCGGUCGCACUGGGACUGAGACACUGCCCAGACUCCUACGGGAGGCUGCAGUCGAGAAUCUUCCGCAAUGGACGAAAGUCUGACGGAGCGACGCCGCGUGGAGGACGAAGGCCUUCGGGUUGUAAACUCCUGUCACGAGUUAAGAAGUGUAUGCCAUUAAUACCGGCAUGCAUUGACGAAGGCUCGAGAGGAAGCACU